rnacentral:rRNA from 1 species
GACAGAGGGUGCAAACGUUGCUCGGAAUCAUUGGGCGUAAAGCGCACGUAGGCGGUCUGUUAUGUCGGAUGUGAAAGCCCUCGGCUUAACUGAGGAAGUGCAUCCGAAACUGGCAGGCUAGAGUACCAAAGAGGGUCGCGGAAUUCCCGGUGUAGAGGUGAAAUUCGUAGAUAUCGGGAGGAACACCGGUGGUGUAGACGGCUCUCUGGACCGUAACUGACGCUGAGACACGAAAGCGUGGGUAGCAAACAGA